UACGUAGGUGGCAAGCGUUGUCCGGAUUUACUGGGCGUAAAGAGCGCGCAGGCGGUCGGAUAAGUCGAAUGUGAAAGCCCCCCGGCUCAACUGGGGAGGGUCAUUCGAUACUGUUCGACUCGAAGGCAGGAGAGGGAAGUGGAAUUCCCGGUGUAGUGGUGAAAUGCGUAGAUAUCCGGAGGAACACCAGUGGCGAAGGCGACUUUCUGGCCUGUUCUUGACGCUGAGGCGCGAAAGCUAGGGGAGCAAACGGG
rnacentral:rRNA from 1 species